rnacentral:rRNA from 1 species
UACGGAGGGGGCAAGCGUUGUUCGGAAUCAUUGGGCGUAAAGGGCGCGUAGGUGGUUCUGUAUGUCUACCGUGAAAGCGUACGGCUCAACCGUAUUUAGUCGGUAGAAACUGCAGGACUUGAGGCUGGGAGGGGCUGGUGGAAUUCCCUGUGUAGCGGUGAAAUGCGUAGAGAUGGGGGAGAACACUCGUGGCGAAGGCGGCCAGCUAGACCAGUUCUGACACUGAGGCGCGACAGCGUGGGGAGCAAACAGG